UAUAUUUCUCUUUGAACUAGGGGUCCUUCCUUAAUUGCUGAGAAUCAAUUCCGGCCGCCAGCGGUAUCACCUAAACGCCCACGAACACCUAAAUUCCCGAACAUCAGAUACGACCAGACACAUAAAAAGCUUCGAACAUCACAACAGAGUGUCCAGCGGUCGGAAUUUGAUUCAAUUCGCAUGGCAAUUAGUUCCAUUGGAAGGACCCUGGGUGGCUGGGGGUCCUUCCUUACUUGCUGAGAAUCAAUUCCGGCCGGUAGCGGUAUCACCUAAACGCCCACAAACACCUACAUUCCCGAAAUCAUUUCGACCAGACACAUACAUAGCUUUCCAACAUCACAACAACGUGUGUCCAGCGGUCGGAAUUUGAUUCUAUGCGCAUGGCAAUUAGUUCCAUUGGAAGGACCCUUGGUGGCUGGGGGUCAUUCCUUACUUGCUGAGAAUCAAUUCCGGCCGGUAGCGGUAUCACCUAAACGCCCACAAACACUUACAUUCCCGAAAUCAUUUCGACCAGACACAUACAUAGCUUUCCAACAUCACAACAACGUGUGUCCAGAGGUCGAAAUUUGAUCCUAUGCGCAUGGUAAUUAGUUCCAUUGGAAGGAUCCUGGGUGGCUGUGGGUCCUUCCUUACUUGCUGAGAAUCAAUUCCGGCCGGUAGCGGUAUCACCUAAACGCCAACGAACACCUACAUUCCCGAACAUUAGAUACGACCAGACACAUAAAUAGCUUCGAACAUCACAACAGCGUGUGUCCAGAGGUCGGAAUAUGAUUCUAUGCGCAUGGCAAUUAGUUCCAUUGGAAGGACCCUGGGUGGCUGUGGGUCCUUCCUUACUUGCUGAGAAUCAAUUCCGGCCGGUAGCGGUAGCACCUAAACGCCCAAGAACACCUACAUUCCUGAACAUCAGAUACGACCAGACACAUAAAUAUCUUCGAACAUCACAACAGCGUGUGUCCAGAGGUCGGAAUUUGAUUCUAUGCGCAUGGCAAUCAGUUCCAUUGGAAGGACCCUGGGUGGCUGGGGUCCUUCCUUAAUUGCUGAGAAUCAAUUUCCGACCGUUCGUUUAUCACCAUAUGCCAACCACACAUUCUAUGUUGCCUCAACUCACAGAUUUUUUUUAUAGUACG
rnacentral:lncRNA from 1 species